UUAGUAAAUUAUCAGUUUGAUUUUAAUAUGCUUAAUAACUGGGUCUUUAUACUUUUAGAUGCCCCGUGGCAAGUCCUACCGUCGCUCUGAGGUGGCUAAGUGGAGGAUGUCGGAGCGACAGUUGGCCUCCAGUGACGCUGGUGCAUGUAUUUGGCGUGCCUUCUUGAAAUCAACUUUUCAUGUAUAUCCUUGCUGAACAACCUGACGGCCAGCAAGACGCCUAAGCAAGGAGGCAUAGCUUUUGGCCAAUACCUGGCCACUGUCUACAGCGUCUGGCCGACUGCACAGGUCUUCGCUGGGACCUUGUCCCACACUUGACAGUCCCGGGGGAUAUCCAAGAGUUUUUCCGGCAUGACUCCGUUUGUCAGCACG